rnacentral:rRNA from 1 species
GCGGAGGGAUCAUUACUGAGUUUACGCUCUAUAACCCUUUGUGAACAUACCUAUAACUGUUGCUUCGGCGGGCAGGGUCUCCGUGACCCUCCCGGCCUCCCGCCCCCGGGCGGGUCGGCGCCCGCCGGAGGAUAACCAAACUCUGAUUUAACGACGUUUCUUCUGAGUGGUACAAGCAAAUAAUCAAAACUUUUAACAACGGAUCUCUUGGUUCUGGCAUCGAUGAAGAACGCAGCGAAAUGCGAUAAGUAAUGUGAAUUGCAGAAUUCAGUGAAUCAUCGAAUCUUUGAACGCACAUUGCGCCCGCCAGCAUUCUGGCGGGCAUGCCUGUUCGAGCGUCAUUUCAACCCUCAAGCUCUGCUUGGUGUUGGGGCCCUACAGCUGAUGUAGGCCCUCAAAGGUAGUGGCGGACCCUCCCGGAGCCUCCUUUGCGUAGUAACUUUACGUCUCGCACUGGGAUCCGGAGGGACUCUUGCCGUAAAACCCCCCAAUUUUCCAAAGGUUGACCUCGGAUCAGGUAGGAAUACCCGCUGAACUUAAGCAUAUCAAUAAGCGGAGGAAAAGAAACCAACAGGGAUUGCCUCAGUAACGG